AUUGAACGCUGGCGGCAGGCCUAACACAUGCAAGUCGAACGAGUGGCGGACGGGUGAGUAAUGUCUGGGAAACUGCCCGAUGGAGGGGGAUAACUACUGGAAACAGUAGCUAAUACCGCAUACCAUCGGAUGUGCCCAGAUGGGAUUAGCUAGUAGGUGGGGUAACGGCUCACCUAGGCGACGAUCCCUAGCUGGUCUGAGAGGAUGACCAGCAACACUGAAAAGGAGACACGGUCCAGACUCCUACGGGAGGCAGAAGUAGGGAAGAUUGCACAAUGGGUGCAAGCCUGAUGCAGCCAUGCCGCGGGUAUGAAGAAGGCCUUCGGGUUGUAAAGUACUUUCGGCGAGGAGGCGUUACGCGCAGAAGAAGCACCGGAUAACUCCGUGCCAGCCGCCGCGGUAAUAA
rnacentral:rRNA from 1 species